rnacentral:rRNA from 1 species
CUACGGGUCGCAGCAGUGGGGAAUAUUGCACAAUGGGCGCAAGCCUGAUGCAGCCAUGCCGCGUGUAUGAAGAAGGCCUUCGGGUUGUAAAGUACUUUCAGCGGGGAGGAAGGGAGUAAAGUUAAUACCUUUGCUCAUUGACGUUACCCGCAGAAGAAGCACCGGCUAACUCCGUGCCAGCAGCCGCGGUAAUACGGAGGGUGCAAGCGUUAAUCGGAAUUACUGGGCGUAAAGCGCACGCAGGCGGUUUGUUAAGUCAGAUGUGAAAUCCCCGGGCUCAACCUGGGAACUGCAUCUGAUACUGGCAAGCUUGGGUCUCGUAGAGGGGGGUAGAAUUCCAGGUGUAGCGGUGAAAUGCGUAGAGAUCUGGAGGAAUACCGGUGGCGAAGGCGGCCCCCUGGACGAAGACUGACGCUCAGGUGCGAAAGCGUGGGGAGCAGACAGGAUUAGAUACCCCGGUAGUC